UACGAAGGGGGCUAGCGUUGCUCGGAAUCACUGGGCGUAAAGCGCACGUAGGCGGAUUUCUAAGUCAGGGGUGAAAUCCUGGAGCUCAACUCCAGAACUGCCUUUGAUACUGGGGAUCUCGAGUCCGGAAGAGGGUGAGUGGAAACUGCGAGUGUAGAGGUGAAAAUUCGUAGAUAUUCGCAAGAACACCAGUGGCGGAAGGCGGACUCACUGGUCCGGUACUGACGCUGAGGUGCGGAAAGCGUGGGGAGCAAACAGGG
rnacentral:rRNA from 1 species